AAGUCGUAACAAGGUUUCCGUAGGUGAACCUGCGGAAGGAUCAUUAUUGAAUUAUGUUUCUAGAUGGGUUGUAGCUGGCUCUUUGGAGCAUGUGCACGCCUGUUUGGAUUUCAUUUUCAUCCACCUGUGCACCUAUUGUAGUCUUUGGCUUGGGUAUUGAGGAAGUGGUCAACCUGUCAGCAUUUGCUGGAUGUGAGGAGUUUGCAGUGUGAAAGCAUUGCUGCCCUUUACUUGGCCAUGGAGUCUUGCCUGCCAGAGUCUAUGUCAUUCACUAUACCCUCUCGAAUGUUAUCGAAUGUUUUUACAUGGGCUUUCAUGCCUAUGAAAAUUAUAAUACAACUUUCAGCAACGGAUCUCUUGGCUCUC
rnacentral:misc_RNA from 1 species